AAGCUUUUUGUGACGGUACCUGGAGAAGAAGCACCGGCUAACUACGUGCCAGCAGCCGCGGUAAUACGUAGGGCGCAAGCGUUGUCCGGAAUUAUUGGGCGUAAAGGGCUCGUAGGCGGUUUGUCGCGUCGGGAGUGAAAACGCCGUGCUUAACACGGCGCUUGCUUUCGAUACGGGCAGACUAGAGGUAUGCAGGGGAGAACGGAAUUCCUGGUGUAGCGGUGAAAUGCGCAGAUAUCAGGAGGAA
rnacentral:rRNA from 1 species